UAAGCGACUCAUUCCGGAUUGUACCUGGAGUGUGAACCCUGGUACCCUGACUUGAGAGGCCACGUCCUUAGUUGCUACACUAACACGGAGACCAGAAGCAGCCUCGAUGUUGGGAACCCAGUGCUGAGAGGCAGUUUCUUGACCCACCCUCCUUCCUCAAUCAUCUCAGCUGGUUCUCUUUGGCGUGGCUCAGAGACUGACCUUGAAUGACCUCACUGAUCCUGUCCACAGGGACCCCGGAUGUUCUUAGAGUCACAGCCUGUUAAAGCUGGAAGCCCCGUGCUAUUUAAUCUUCGACAGUGGCUCUCAAGUGUGUUCUCACAUGAAGCUGGUGCUCAGGCAGAUGGCCUGAGGCCCUCUUCUGCCAAAACCCAAUAUUGGAGGUCUUUCUCCAAUGUACAGAAAAAAGAGAUUAAUGAAUUCUCUUCAACUUUAAAUUUACUUUCCAUUAACUCUUAAACCAUCAUCACCUGCUACCAAUUGUCUACUAGCCAAUUCAGGCAGACAACAGAACAAAGAUUAGUUACAAAUACAUUUGAAAGAGAACAACCAAAGCCUUGGAAAACAAGUAUGUUUUUAAAUUUUAUUUAUUUAUUUAUUUUUGU